UUUUUGCGCAUAAAACAACAAACAUACAACCAAAAACCUUUUUUUGGUAGUCACUGACAUUACCAAAAUCAUCCGAAACGUUUUUACUGCAAUUGGUCAUUAAACUUUGUUGAUUUAUGUGCAAAAACGCUUAUUACAGUCAAAUACAUGAACCAAAUCAUGAAACCUUUUCCACUACAAUUGAACUAUGGCUGGAAAACUGCCACUAUGAUSGAUGUGAAUGUGACAAAGUGCAUGCUGAAUAUAUUGUCCUGCGAUUUCACGAGAUAAAGUUCAAUAGUUUUUUUCUUCCAAAAAGUAUACAUGAGCCCCAAUCUUGCAAGAAAUCCCAAAAGCUUGUUUCCAUGGAAUCCUCACUCACAAGAAAACUUGCUGUUAUGGGUUUGAUSAUUAGCCAAAACUGAAACAGAACAGCUACAGCCAACGUGACAACGGUACUAGAUAUGUAAUAAUACUGAGCAUAUAAUUAUAUUUAAUAAAACAAACUUCGAAGCGUU